CUGGUUGAUCCUGCCAGUAGUCAUAUGCUUGUCUCAAAGCUUAAGCCAUGCAAGUGUUAGUUCAUGCUGUAAACGAAUGGUGAAACCGCAAAUGGCUCAGGAACCGGACUUAAUCCUCGGGACCGUAUUCCGCACUGCGAGGAGAGUGGAUAACUGGCAAUUCUAGAGCUAAUACAUGCAACCGAAGCCACGAUCACAGGUCACACCCGGGUGUCGGGCCGAAAAACGGCGUUCGGCAGCUGCGGCGGCUUCGCGCCGCCGGCGCCCGCUCGGCCGGUCCAGGGCGGCGCACCCGCGCUCGCUCUCCGGUCGCGACGAUAUGGUCGGCCUUCCGCAUUGGUCGCGGCGCAAAUAUCAGACUGAGUCCGUCGCCAAGCGAGAGUUUCAUUAACUAGCGAUUCUUUUGUUUGUUUGAUAAUUUAUGAGUGAGGGUAUCUCCAUGGGUUUAGAAAAUAUAACAAGAAAAACUCAUUUAUUUCCACAUCGUGUUGAAGUUUUGUGGGCAGCAUAUUCAUCAGGUGUUUAAAAUUGGAUAUCGAAAUUAAUCAAUGUCCCAGUGAUGGAAGUUUCCGAUUUAGAUUGAAACAAAUUCUUACUAUAGUAUUUCUGUUACUCCUUAACUGGUUUCAGACAGCGCCUUGAGGGAUUUUGUCAAUCAUUUAUU
rnacentral:ncRNA from 1 species